rnacentral:rRNA from 1 species
GACGAACGCUGGCGGCGUGCUUAACACAUGCAAGUCGAACGGAAAGGCCCUGCUUUUGUGGGGUGCUCGAGUGGCGAACGGGUGAGUAACACGUGUGUAACCUGCCCUUGACUUUGGGAUAACUUCAGGAAACUGGGGCUAAUACCGGAUAGGAGCUCCUGCUGCAUGGUGGGGGUUGGUAAGUUUCGGCGGUUGGGGAUGGACUCGCGGCUUAUCAGCUUGUUGGUGGGGUAGUGGCUUACCAAGGCUUUGACGGGUAGCCGGCCUGAGAGGGUGACCGGCCACAUUGGGACUGAGAUACGGCCCAGACGCCUACGGGAGGCAGCAGUGGGGAAUAUUGCACAAUGGGCGGAAGCCUGAUGCAGCAACGCCGCGUGCGGGAUGACGGCCUUCGGGUUGUAAACCGAUUUCGCCGGUGACGAAGCGUGAGUGACGGUAAUGGGUAAAGAAGCACCGGCUAACUACGUG